rnacentral:rRNA from 1 species
GAUGAACGCUGGCGGCGUGCCUAAUACAUGCAAGUAGAACGCUGAGUGAGGAGCUUGCCCUUCUGGCUGAGUUGCGAACGUGGAGGUACGGCGUAGGUAAUAUGCCUGGUAGAGGGUGACAACUACUGGAAACGAUCGCUAAUACAGCACUACUACAGCCGCAGCAUGCUAACGGUCUGAAUGGGGCAGCUGUACCAACACCAGAUGGAUCAGAGUUGUAUUCGUUCGUUGGUGAGGUAACGGCGGACACAGGCGACGAUACCUAGCCGACCUGAGAGGGGGAUCGGCCACACUGGGACUGGGACACGGCCCAGAAUCCUACGGGAGGCAGCAGGAGGGAACCUUCGGCAAUGGAAGGAAGGCUGACCGAGCAACGCCGCGUGAGUGAAGAAGGUUGUCGGAUCGUAAAGCUCUGUUGUAAGAGAAGAACGAGUGUGAGAGUGGAAAGUUCACACUGUGACGGUAUCUUACCAGAAAGGGACGGCUAACUACGUG